rnacentral:rRNA from 1 species
AUUGAACGCUGGCGGAAUGCUUUACACAUGCAAGUCGAACGGCAGCACGGGGCAACCUGGUGGCGAGUGGCGAACGGGUGAGUAAUACAUCGGAACGUGCCCAAUCGUGGGGGAUAACGUAGCGAAAGCUACGCUAAUACCGCAUACGAUCUACGGAUGAAAGCGGGGGAUCGCAAGACCUCGCGCGAAUGGAGCGGCCGAUGGCAGAUUAGGUAGUUGGUGGGGUAAAGGCUCACCAAGCCGACGAUCUGUAGCUGGUCUGAGAGGACGACCAGCCACACUGGGACUGAGACACGGCCCAGACUCCUACGGGAGGCAGCAGUGGGGAAUUUUGGACAAUGGGCGCAAGCCUGAUCCAGCCAUUCCGCGUGCAGGAUGAAGGCCUUCGGGUUGUAAACUGCUUUUGUACGGAACGAAAAGGCUCUGGUUAAUACCCGGGGCUCAUGACGGUACCGCAAGAAUAAGCACCGGCUAACUACGUGCCAGCAGCCGCCGUAAGAC